UAGUGGCGAACGGGUGAGUAACACGUGGGCAAUCUGCCCUGCACUCUGGGACAAGCCCUGGAAACGGGGUCUAAUACCGGAUACGAGCCUCCUCCGCAUGGUGGAGGUUGGAAAGCUCCGGCGGUGCAGGAUGAGCCCGCGGCCUAUCAGCUUGUUGGUGAGGUAACGGCUCACCAAGGCGACGACGGGUAGCCGGCCUGAGAGGGCGACCGGCCACACUGGGACUGAGACACGGCCCAGACUCCUACGGGAGGCAGCAGUGGGGAAUAUUGCACAAUGGGCGAAAGCCUGAUGCAGCGACGCCGCGUGAGGGAUGAAGGCCUUCGGGUUGUAAACCUCUUUCAGCAGGGAAGAAGCGAAAGUGACGGUACCUGCAGAAGAAGCGCCGGCUAACUACGUGCCAGCAGCCGCGGUAAUACGUAGGGCGCAAGCGUUGUCCGGAAUUAUUGGGCGUAAAGAGCUCGUAGGCGGCUUGUCGCGUCGGUUGUGAAAGCCCGGGGCUUAACCCCGGNUCUGCAGUCGAUACGGGCAGGCUAGAGUUCGGUAGGGGAGAUCGGAAUUCCU
rnacentral:rRNA from 1 species